GAUACCCGGACUCCCGGAGGCUCUGCAGAAGGAGGAUGAGGAGGAUGCCGCUCCGCGCACGGGGGGAGCCGCAGCCCCGGGAGGCUUCGGGCGCUGCCGGCGGAGGUGGAAUUGGAGGUUUCGGUAUUCCUGCAGGGACAGCUCCCAUCGGCCCCAGGAGCUGCUGGAACCUCCUUGUGCCAGCGGUGAGGACACCAGGGCAGGAGUGGCACUUGUCCCCUCCGCCAGGGAAGGCUCCCGAGGCAGGAUUUGUCCCUGGAUGGUUCCUCUGCGCUGGGAUCCCUAGCACUGAGCCUCGGCUGGGGUUUGGAUGCUCCCUUCUGUCUGCAGCUGGAAUGGCAGGGCCGUUCCUCCUGCUCCUCCCAAAUCCUGUGGAUUUACUGCUUUUGGCAUCGUCCUGCUGGGACUGGCUCGGCACAGGGAAUAUCCCAAGGGACGGAUAUGGAAAAGCAGCGCCUGCAGCCUGAGGCUACAAUUCCCUCUUUUUCUGGGCUACUCUGAGCAUCCUGGCUCUGCAGGAGGAAGGAUUCCAUGCACUCCUGGAGGACAAAUCCUGCUGCUCUGAUGCCUCCCCAGCCGUUCCUGGCUCAAGCCCUGCCCUGCUCGAUGCUCCUGGAGGGUUUUUGGUGCCACUCUCCAGCUUUGGGCACCCAAAAGGGACAAAGAGCCCCAAAUCCACUCCCCUCUGAACACAUA